rnacentral:rRNA from 1 species
GAUGAACGCUGGCGGCAGGCCUAACACAUGCAAGCCGAGCGGUAUUUGUUCUACGGUACUGUGCUAGCGGCGCACGCGAACGGAUCACUUAUGCAACCUUCAUUUAUCUGGGGGAUAGGGUUUCCAAAGGAAGACGAAUACUACAUCAUCAUUUGAGUGGCAUCCUUUGUUAUUGAAAACUCAGGUGGAUAGUGAUGGGCACGAGCAAGAUGAGAUAGUUGGUGAGGUAACGGCUCACCAAGUCAAUUAUCUUUAGGGGGACUGAGAGGGUGAUCCCCCAAACUGGUACUGGGACACGGACCAUACGCCUACGGGAGGCAGCAGUGAGGAAGAUGGGACAAUGGGUUAGCGCCUGAUCCAGCGAUCCCGCGUGAAGGACGACGGCCCUGUGGGUUGUAAACUUCUUUUGUAAAGGGAUAAACCUACUCUCGGGAGAGUAGCUGAAGGUACCUUACGAAUAAGCACCGGCUAACUACGUG